rnacentral:rRNA from 1 species
AUACGGAGGAUGCGAGCGUUAUCCGGAUUUAUUGGGUUUAAAGGGUGCGCAGGCGGCCAUUUAAGUCAGCGGUUAAAUCGUGGGGCUCAACCCCAUUCUGCCGUUGAUACUGGGUGGCUUGAUUGCGGUCGAGGUUGGCGGAAUUCGUUGUGUAGCGGUGAAAUGCAUAGAUAUGACGAAGAACACCGAUUGCGUAGGCAGCUGACCAGACCGCAAAUGACGCUCAUGCACGAAAGGGCUGGGAUCGAACAGGAUUAGAUACCCUGGUAGUCCGCACAGUAAACGAUGAAUACUUGUUUUCGGCGAUAUAAUGUCGGAGGCAAAGCGAAAGCGAUAAGUAUUCCACCUGGGGAGUACGCCGGCAACGGUGAAACUCAAAGGAAUUGACGGGG